GUCCAUCAUGGCCGACCAAGAAGAUGUUCAAACAACCAAGAGAUAUGUUAGACCAAAGACAGAAUGAGGAGCGUAACUUUUACCACCUAUUUGUGUAGAGCAGUAUGGUACCAGCGGUGCAGCUGACUCUGAAUUCAUGGCUUGUUCUAAUGAAAAAAGGCGGAUGAGGCACUGGAAUCCGAAUGAAAUCAAAAAUGCCAUUGUAAGAGGAUUGACCUGUAAUGCAUGGAUAUCAUCUAACGCAACUGCAACGCUGACCUUGGGGAAAUGAGUGCAAGAUGGAAACAAAGCGUUCAGUGAAACAUCUUGUCAUCUCAAAUAUUUGAUGACUCAAUACUGAUGUGAAGUUGCUGAUAAAAGUCAUCUGUUGGCCCGUGAUUAUUAGAUAAACCCACUACGCUUAAAGUGGUUUUCCUAUAUGAAGGAGGGAAGAUAACUACAAAAACAGAAACAGAUGACAUUGGCAGACCAAAUAAAGGAGAACUAUUUUGUUCAGUUAAAUUUUUAAGACUUUAGAAAAGCCUUUAAUAGUGCACAUCCUUGCAAAUGCCAUAUUGAAAACUGGGCUCUUUAAAAAGGUGAAAGUGGUCUCGAGGAUAAGCCUCACAUCCAAGGUUGUGGGUUCAAGCCCCUCCAAGAUACUUUCUCAUGACCUCAGGAAAAGGAUGUCCGUACUUGUUUCCACUUUGGCAACAGACUUAAGAGUGCUUCUGUAAGCUUCCAGCUUGCAUAACAAUCUGAUUAGGCAUAAAGUAAGAUAUUAGCUGAAUUGCAAACAGUUUUUCCAUUUGUGUUGAUUUGCUUUUUAGUCUGUUGAAUGUUUAUUAGAAGUGAUGAGCAUUGCUUACUACAACCAAUAUUUAUUUUCUUUAUUAAGUUGAA